rnacentral:snoRNA from 1 species
ACCACGAGGAGGAGACGUAGCGUUCUCUCCUGAGCGUGAAGCCGGCUCUUGGUGUUGCUUCUGCAGCUGCCAUUUGCCAUUGAUGAUCGUUCUCGUUUUUCUUUUCGGAGGAACGAGAGGGAGAGAACGCGGUCUGAGUGGU